AUGAAGUAUUGUGUGAUGAAAACAACGUGUAUUUACUACAAUGUGUAAAUCAACAAUAUGUUUGAUGCAAAGGAGAUUCAAAGUGGGUGGUUAAAGUGAGAUGGUCUAGUUCAAAACUGCUUGUAUUUUUGGAAUACUGAAGAACAGUCUGUUGUAACAGGUUAAACCCAUGGUGAAAUUUUCAUUUAUCGGAAGAUUCUUUGGAAAGAAUGUGCAUCAUCGCAUCGCCUGCCAAAAAAGGGAGCAAAAGGGAGACUACCUGAUGUAUUGACUUGAAUACCAGGUUUUACCCUGCACGAGCUGGCCAACGUGAGGAGAACAGAAGUGGGAAAACCGCGCCCUGUCCUUGACCAAGAAAAGGAUUUGUUUAGUGGUAAAACUAUACAGGGUACUGGUUAUUGCAUUUUAAAGGUGUCACACUUCUGACCAGUCCACACAGCCAAAUGAGACCACGUAUCUUGGACCUGAUCAAAUGAGAUCAUGCACGAGACGCAACGCGCAAAGGUCAUGACAGUAUAAUAGUUGCAAAGAAGUUUGACCGGCUGGUGGCAGACGUGGAGAGAAAGAUGAGAGCCGCACUCCGCCGCCUCAAAAAAAUGACAGGCCUUAAUUGAUUCUCAUUAUUCUUAUGUAUAUAGAUGUUCCGGUGCAUAUACUGUACAUGUUAUUAUUAGUAUGCUAUUAUUUUUUGCUUAUUUAUAAUCUAAUUAUGUUAAUAUUUAUUUCAUCAAAUUAUCAUUGAUAUUUAAUUACUUAUGUAUGUUAACAAAUGUUGGUGUACAUUUAAGUAUAAAAUUGAAUUAUCUUGUAAUUAUUUAAAAUAUACAAAUAUAUUUGUAUAUAAUUAUUGGUUUUAAUUGCGUAUCUGAAUUAAAAAAACAAACUUUUAACAGCAUAUAAUUAAAUCAACUGUUAAGGCAAAAGAUGCACCUUUAACGCACAUGUGUGCUUUUUGUGAGUGCGAUUUUGAGUGCCAUUUAUGUGCGUAAAUUGUGCGCUUUUAUGUGGUUUAAAACUGCGCUUUUAACCGAGUCAAAUGUGCGCUUUUUA